UCCUGGUUAGCUUAGUGGGUAAAGUGCUGCACUGGAAAUCGAGAGGUCCGUGGUUCGAUACGUGGACCGGGCG
rnacentral:tRNA from 1 species